UACGUAGGGGGCAAGCGUUGUCCGGAUUUAUUGGGCGUAAAGAGCGUGUAGGCGGCCUUACAGGUCAGCUGUGAAAACUCGAGGCUCAACCUCGAGACGUCGGUUGAAACCGUAAGGCUAGAGUCCGGAAGAGGAGAGUGGAAUUCCCGGUGUAGCGGUGAAAUGCGCAGAUAUCAGGAAGAACACCUAUGGCGAAGGCAGCACUCUGGGACGGUACUGACGCUGAGACGCGAAAGCGUGGGGAGCGAACAGG
rnacentral:rRNA from 1 species